GGACGAACGCUGGCGGCGUGCUUAACACAUGCAAGUCGAGCGAUGAAGCUUCUUCGGAAGUGGAUUAGCGGCGGACGGGUGAGUAACACGUGGGUAACCUGCCUCAUAGAGGGGAAUAGCCUUCCGAAAGGAAGAUUAAUACCGCAUAAGAUUGUAAUAUCGCAUGAUAUAGCAAUUAAAGGAGUAAUCCGCUAUGAGAUGGACCCGCGUCGCAUUAGCUAGUUGGUGAGGUAACGGCUCACCAAGGCGACGAUGCGUAGCCGACCUGAGAGGGUGAUCGGCCACAUUGGGACUGAGACACGGCCCAGACUCCUACGGGAGGCAGCAGGUGGGGAAUAUUGCACAAUGGGGGAAACCCUGAUGCAAGCAACGCCGCGUGAGUGAUGACGGUCUUCGGAUUGUAAAGCUCUGUCUUCAGGGACGAUAAUGACGGUACCUGAGGAGGAAGCCACGGCUAACUACGUGCCAGCCGCCGC
rnacentral:rRNA from 1 species